UUAGCGCAUCGUUCUUCAAAAGUCGAUUCUGCAGCAAAAUCCUUUCUCCUCCAUUUUGGCGAUUUAGGGUUUGGUUCUUUCUCCUGAAAUGGCUGAUUCUCCUCGCAAAAGGUAUUCCCGCUCUCCUUCUCCUUGGGAUGAAAAGUCAAGAUCUCACUCUCGCUCUCUAUCAAGGUCUAGAUCCCGAUCCAGAUCAUGGCCAAGGCCAAGAGGAAGAUCCAGGUCCAGAAGUCAAGGAAGGGCUGAAGUUUCUAAUCCUGGCAACACACUCUAUGUGACUGGAUUAUCUACAAGGGUCACUGAAAGGGACCUUGAGGAGCAUUUCUCAAAGGAAGGAAAGGUGAAGUCAGUUUUUCUGGUUGUGGAGCCCCGUUCUCGUAUCUCUCGUGGUAUUGCUUUUAUAACAAUGGAUAGUCUUGAGGAUGCUAAUCGCUGCAUUAAGAACCUUAACCAGUCUGUCCUUGAAGGCCGGUACAUAACAGUGGAGAAGAAGACAUUACCUCAGCUGUGUUGGCAGCAAUCAAAGAUGAUCAGUUCUUCCCUUGCAACAUUAUAUUCACUCAGCUUGAUCAAUGGCCUGCUAAAACAGCUUUUCACAUGCAUCUCAUCAGCUAAACAUAGCAACUAUAGUGCCCAACAACUAUACAACCUCAGCAAAUACUUUCAACUCAACUAAUCAACGGUCAUUAUCAACUUUACUGUACGACUAGCGUGAUAUUAUAUUUCUUAGUAUUCUUCAUCAAAGAUAUAACAUUUCUCAGUAAUGGACAUUGUUAUGUGCUUCUGCCGCCUUCCUCGCCAUUAUCUCCAGAUAUGGAGAGGUACUAAAAAGACUUUGAUUUUUGUUGCCAGAUUAGUUGAAUGUAAUGUUCUGCAAUUACAGGGAGCACAUUUCCUAUUCCUGUUUGUUCUGGAUGUAGACAUCAUAUCAGAUUUUAGAGACUAAGACGAUAUAUCUGUUUUUCAGUCUUGAAGAAAAUGCCGAUGAUUCGGAAAUGUUAUAUUUCUUCCAUUACAAGGAGUACAUUAUCUAGAAUACAGUAUUCGGUUAAGAUAACCCAUUUGUUCCUGUAUGUCAACAAGUUCAUUUUACAUAAUGAGAUAAUAUAUUUAUUUUCCAGUCUCGUAGAAAAUGCCCAAGGACUCCAACACCUGGUCAUUAUCUUGGACUUGAGAGCACACAGGGUGAUGGUUAUCGUGGUGAUCGUGGUAGGUAUCGCGGCCGUGAUGACUAUGGGUAUCGAAGACCUCCAAGGCGCUCGCCAUAUAGAGGUGUACGAGGUUAUUCUCCUAGGCGCUCUCCAUGUGCUGGAAGGUCAAGACGUAUGCGAUCCCGGUCACAUUCUCCUUAUGAGAGGAACUAUCAUCG